rnacentral:snoRNA from 1 species
ACCAGGAAUGAAUUGUGUACUGUCCCAGUCUGUGAUCGCUGUAACUGAAAGGUAUUUUCUGAACUGUG